rnacentral:rRNA from 1 species
UUGAAAGGGAAACGAUUGAAGUCAGUCGUACCAGCGGGAAAUCAACCUUUCGAGUGGGGGUUUUGGAGUUUUGAAGAGUUUCAAAACCUUUGAGAUUUCAAAAAUUUCGCUCUUUUGGUGUACUUUCUCGUGGGUAGGUUAACAUCGAUUUUGAUCAUCAUAAAAAGAUUGGAGGAAUGUAGCUUCGAUCUUGUAUUGAAGUGUUAUAGCCUUUGGUAAAUGUGAUGAUUAGGAUCGAGGAUUGCACCGAAUACCCUUUUGGGCUAUCCGCCUGAUCUCUGAUACGUGGCCUUGGUAUCGAAAGCGUGCUUAUGGUAUUGAGGUAUUACGGUCAAAAGGUUAGAACGGAUUACAUUCGUUAAGGAUGUUGACGUA